rnacentral:rRNA from 1 species
UGAGGAAUAUUGGUCAAUGGACGCAAGUCUGAACCAGCCAUGCCGCGUGGAGGAUGAAGGCCUUCUGGGUUGUAAACUUCUUUUAUUGGGGAAGAAAAGCACGGUUUCUACUGUGUCCGACGGUACCCAAGGAAUAAGCACCGGCUAACUCCGUGCCAGCAGCCGCGGUAAUACGGAGGGUGCAAGCGUUAUCCGGAUUCACUGGGUUUAAAGGGUGUGUAGGCGGGCUGUUAAGUCAGUGGUGAAAUCUCAAGGCUCAACCUUGAAACUGCCAUUGAUACUAUCAGUCUUGAAUCUUGUUGAGGUAGGCGGAAUAUGUCAUGUAGCGGUGAAAUGCUUAGAUAUGACAUAGAACACCGAUUGCGAAGGCAGCUUACUAAACAAGCAUUGACGCUGAGGCACGAAAGCGUGGGGAUCAAACAGG